rnacentral:rRNA from 1 species
UACGGAGGGUGCAAGCGUUAUCCGGAUUCACUGGGUUUAAAGGGUGCGUAGGUGGGUUGGUAAGUCAGUGGUGAAAUCCUUGAGCUUAACUCGAGAACUGCCAUUGAUACUGAAGAUCUUGAGUUCGGGAGAGGUGAGUGGAACUGCGAGUGUAGAGGUGAAAUUCGUAGAUAUUCGCAAGAACACCAGUGGCGAAGGCGGCUCACUGGCCCGAUACUGACGCUGAGGCACGAAAGCGUGGGGAGCAAACAGG